rnacentral:rRNA from 1 species
GAUCAUGGCUCAGAUUGAACGCUGGCGGCAUGCCUUACACAUGCAAGUCGAACGGCAGCGGACCUUCGGGUGCCGGCGAGUGGCGAACGGGUGAGUAAUGCAUCGGAACGUGCCAUUGAGUGGGGAUAACGUAGCGAAAGUUGCGCUAAUACCGCAUAUUCUGUGAGCAGGAAAGCAGGGGACCGCAAGGCCUUGCGCUCUUUGAGCGGCCGAUGUCAGAUUAGCUAGUUGGUGAGGUAACGGCUUACCAAGGCGACGAUCUGUAGCGGGUCUGAGAGGAUGAUCCGCCACACUGGAACUGAGACACGGUCCAGACUCCUACGGGAGGCAGCAGUGGGGGAUUUUGGACAAUGGGGGCAACCCUGAUCCAGCCAUGCCGCGUGAGUGAAGAAGGCCUUCGGGUUGUAAAGCUCUUUCGGCCGGGAAGAAAUCGCAUGGGUUAAUACCCUGUGUGGAUGACGGUACCGGCAUAAGAAGCACCGGCUAACUACGUG